rnacentral:rRNA from 1 species
UACGUAGGGUGCGAGCGUUAAUCGGAAUUACUGGGCGUAAAGCGUGCGCAGGCGGUUUUGUAAGCCAGAUGUGAAAUCCCCGGGCUUAACCUGGGAAUGGCAUUUGGGACUGCAAGGCUGGAGUGCGGCAGAGGAGACUGGAAUUCCUGGUGUAGCAGUGAAAUGCGUAGAUAUCAGGAGGAACACCGAUGGCGAAGGCAGGUCUCUGGGCUGACACUGACGCUCAUGCACGAAAGCGUGGG